rnacentral:rRNA from 1 species
UACGGAGGGUGCGAGCGUUGUCCGGAAUCACUGGGCGUAAAGGGCGCGUAGGCGGCCUGGCAAGUCGAUGGUGAAAGCCCGAGGCUCAACUUCGGGUCGGCCACUGAUACUGCUGGGCUUGAGUCGACUAGAGGCAGAUGGAAUUCCGGGUGUAGCGGUGGAAUGCGUAGAGAUCCGGAAGAACACCAGUGGCGAAGGCGGCUUUCUGGACGAUAACUGACGCUGAGACGCGAAAGCGUGGGAGCAAACAGGG